rnacentral:rRNA from 1 species
UACGUAGGGUGCGAGCGUUAAUCGGAAUUACUGGGCGUAAAGCGCGCGUAGGCGGCCCGAUAAGUCCGCUGUGAAAGUCAACGGCUCAACUGUUGGAUGCCGGUGGAUACUGUCGGGCUAGAGUACGGAAGAGGCAAGUGGAAUUCCUGGUGUAGCGGUGGAAUGCGCAGAUAUCAGGAGGAACACCUAUAGCGAAGGCAGCUUGCUGGGACGUUACUGACGCUAAGGCGCGAAAGCGUGGGGAGCGAACAGG